UUCUUAGGCUCAAGUGAUUCUCCUGCCUCAGCCCCUUCAACAGUUCAGAAUAGCUAGAAAUACAAACAAGUGCCACCAUAUUCAGGUGAGACACUAUCUUGAUCAACACUAAAAACAAAACAAACAAACAAAUAAAACCUCACAGAACAUAACCUGAGUCCAAGCCCCAGAACUGGCAAAAAAAAAAAGUGGCAUUACAACACACUAUAGUACCCUCUCCCCGCCCCCCAAGGCAGUACUGACCUAUAAGCUUAUUCUUAAAAUGAGUCUGAUCUAUUUUUUCUUGGAACACUCUAUUAUCUUCCACUGCUGACUUGUUUUCUACACUGCGUUGUCAUGCCAGUCAGUAUUCAGUCUUGGAUAAGGUGUUUUUAUUUAUACAAAAAAGAAUGCCUACUGUUAAAAAAAAAAAAAAAAACUAAGGGGAAAAAGAGGAAAUUACCCAGGUUUCCACCUUCUAAACACACACACACACACACACACACACACACACACCUAGUUAACAUAAAAUCCUAUUUGUGUCUGGAUGCUAUCUCUUAGUUUUUUUUGCUGUAGUACCUGAAGAUAAGAAUGUUAGGAAAAUGGAGGAGAAAGGAAGGAAACAGGCCAGACUCAAUCUUUUAUGGGCGAGGACUGUUUAUUGAGAUAUAGCAGCAAGGGGCACAGCCUUUUAAGUGCUUGGAGUCUGUGUAAGGGGGAUGGGGUUGGAAUCAAGACUGCUGAGGAGUCUGAGCCAAGAGACUGGAGGUUACUGGAACUUAGUAUGGGGGGGAGGGGUGACUGCAGGUGCCAACAGAGACUAAGGUAAGUAUUCCCUUAUCCAAGGCCUCAAGCUUUUCAAUGUUCAAACAGCUCUACACCUGUCUUGCCUAGAUGGUGAGACCUUAACAGGAUCCUAUUUCUUA